rnacentral:rRNA from 1 species
GACGAACGCUGGCGGCGUGCUUAACACAUGCAAGUCGAACGGAAAGGCCCUGCUUGCAGGGUACUCGAAUGGCGAACGGGUGAGUAACACGUGGGGGAUCUGCCCUGCACUUCGGGAUAAGCCUGGGAAACUGGGUCUAAUACCGGAUAGGAGCCAUUUUUAGUGUGAUGGUUGGAAAGUUUUUUCGGUGUAGGAUGAGCUCGCGGCCUAUCUGCGUGUUGGUGGGGUAAUGGCCUACGCAGGCGGCGACGGGUAGCCGGCCUGAGAGGGUGGACGGCCACAUUGGGACUGAGAGACGGGCCAGACUCCUACGGGAGGCAGCGGUGGGGAAUAUUGCACAAUGGGCGCAAGCCUGAUGCAGCGACGCCGCGUGGGGGAUGACGGCCUUCGGGUUGUAAACUCCUUUCGCUAGGGACGAAGCUUUUUGUGACGGUACCUAGAUAAGAAGCACCGGCUAACUACGUG